rnacentral:tRNA from 1 species
CAAAAUAUAGCUUAAAAAAGCAUCUUGCUUACACCAAGAAGAUGCCCGUGAAACUCUGGCUAUUUUGAG